UAUGCAGUCAAAAAGCAAGCCGAGAUCUACCGAAAAAAAAAAAAAAGUCAAGAUUUUGAAUAUCACAGCAUAUUGGCGAUAUGCCUGGUCUGCCGAUAUUGUUCUUCUAUACAGACCAUAUUAUAUUUCAAAACUCGAGCUUUGAUAACAAAUAGAUCAGUUGGUGCAGCACUUGUGAUGCAAAACUGAGCAUAAAUUGAAAUAAUUUGCAAAUUAGAUGUUUUUAAUUUACUGGACGGAUUGCGUCUGAUGGUCAUGGUGCGUUCAAGACAACUGGGAACUCGAGAGGGAAAAAAAGUUAAAAUCAUGACGUCAGUGAACUUCAGGUCGGAGCUCUAGAAAGAUGUCGGAGUUUCUGAUUUGUAUGACCGUUCAAAACGAUUUUCCCCAGUCGGAUCUCGUUUAUUUCCGAGUUCCCAGUUGUCAUUAACGCUCGGAAGUUGGAGAUUUCCGAGUAAGUUGUUUUGAACACGGCAUUAGUCUCAACGGAGGGAGGGAAAGAGCAGCUGAAGUUACCCAUCUCACUGUCCUUGCUCUCUCCUAACUUUUCUCCGGUGAGACUGACCAGAGAAAGGGGCUACAGUCUUCCACCCGAUGGCGAAACUCGAUUUGCACCGCAUCUGCCUCAGGCACAAAUUAAUGUUGUUCCUACGACAGAGAAAGUGAAAUACAACCUCGAUAUUAAAAUAGACACGAGGAGCUGGUAAUACUAAUAAAAACGCAUGGCUAUUGAUACACGUGGCUUAUCAUUCCUUGCAGUUGCAGUGCGAGUGGAAGUAGAGAGAAGCGCGUUUUGUAAUAGUGUUGAAUACAACUUAGACAUGAACUUACUCAUAAAAAUAGCAGCUCUUUGCUGUAUUUUUUUGACAGUCUCUCUUGUUGGUCAUGGUUUUAAAACGUAUUAAAUCUCACCUAGGCUAGUGUCAAACUUCGUUGUGGCCAGGGUCGUGGAAGCUGUAGGUACGGUGAUUUGAGCUGUCUGAUUGACCAGCGCAGUAGCCACAGUUCUCGUCCGUCGGGUAGGCUGAGUUCGUCUUUUCAGACACAAUAAAUGGUUCAAAAUGGGAACACUUUGCUUACCCUGUUCGCAGGGCUUCUGAAUCAAGAGCACCUACCGGCAACUCGGAAAAAAAGGGGCGCAAGCCUUUGUGCCUUUUAUCAUUGGCUUUUCUACAGAAAUGUUUGGUGAGCGACUAGGAAUGCCUCGAAGGUCGUCCAGUCAAUCGGUGACCACUGCUGUAGUUCAUGUGUGAGAGAGAAGAUCAUAUCUAAAGGGGGAAAUUAGUUAGAGUACAGUAUGCUUCUGUAGACUAUUAAUGCUGACUAAUGACAUGGAGGGUAGUGCUACAGUGUCUCUGCCUCUGACUGUUAGAACCCCCUUAUCUGGAGUGGAAAUGGUUAUGUUCAUGGAAGCAGUUUUGAUGUAGGCUACAGUACCUGUUCUCCAGUAAGUGAUGAGGAGAUAACGGUGUUAAUCACUUCAGCCUCUGUCUUGUCCCUCUGUAUUAAACACAGCACAGGGAUAGAGUGAUUACAGAGAGCUUUAGGGAAAGCUGUUCUCAAUGGAACUGCUGGGGAUAGUUCAUGUCCUUGACAUCAAAGUCUAGGGCCCUGUUUUGGAAAUGGUUAAAAUACCAAAUUCCUCAUGACAAUCACUGAUAUAGUAGGUGAAAGCAAGGAUUCCAUGUCAUAGCUUUCACUUAUCUAGCCAUGUUAGAUCAGUGAUUACUUCAAGGAAGGAAAGAUGCAUUUUUAAAAGUAAUCGAACAGGGACUACCAGUAUGAAUUUGUGAGUGAGUGGUUGCUAUUGUCAUGUUUGUCCCCCUCCUCUGCUUUAGGGGGCGAUGGUGGAGAAGAGGAUCCUUGCCAGGGUUCACAGUCACUUCAUCGUGUCCCUGGCCUAGAAUACUCUUGUCUGGUUAUGACCAUCAUGAAUGGAGAUACCACAUCUACCUGAUGGAUGAGAACAACCCAGGGUUUGAGGAGCCCAGAGCCUGUUUCUAUUCUGCUCCAAUCAUCCAGGGCAUGGAGCACCUCCACCAGAAGAGCAUCAUCUACAGAGACCUCAAACCUGAGAACAUGCUCCUGGAUAAUGAAGGUUGAGAAGGAAGAGCUGAAGGAGCGGGACAGUGGUCUACCCAGAGACAUUCAGUGAGAACGGCAAGUCCAUCUGCUCCGGGCUGCUGGAGAAAAAGGUGACCAUAAACUAGGUUUCAAGAACGGCUCCUGUGACGAGAUCAGGGCACACCCCUUCUUCAGCGGCAUCCACUGGAGGAGACUGGACGCAGGUAAGGAUGCAAAUUCCAAGUGAUAACAGAACCAAAUGGUAAAUUCUAAAUCUAGGCUGUAUUUGGGCCAUUAUAAUUUUGCUUGGUUUCUAUCUAGGUCAUCUGCCACAAAGAGACUUCACGUCAGAAGCACACUAUCCCGCCCUAUGAAGUUUCCUGCGCUGGGAGUCUAUCUUGGAACAGCCCAAGUCAUCCACCUGCUGCUUGGCUUGACUGUUGCUGUGGAAAAGGAGGACAAAAUGCAGAGCGCAGAUGUUUCGGACCAGACCAACAGUAGCCCUUUGCAGUGAUGUUGUGUUUAGUUCACUAGUCAUGGAAAAUUCCAACUGAUGACAUCACAAAGCACUGUCAACUGAAUAUUUAUUCAAUGCUUGACGUUUGGAAAAGAACAAUGGGAAAAACUGUAGGAAAAAAAAGCUCUGGGAGCUUGAUGGGGAUAUACACUGGCCUUGUGACAAUGACACCUGAACCCAGACAAACACUCAAACAGAACAGAAGAGGCGAUCAAGUUCUACACAUCAACUUUGCCAUGGAACACUUGAGUGGUACGGACUGCCCAUUGGUUGAGACUGUUCCGCUGAUCCUAUAGUGAGAAAGGGCUUUGGACCUCCGUAAUUCAGUUGGGCUCAGCAAUAGAUAUUAUUCUGUAUUCUCUAAGCAUACUGACAGAUCAUUUGGCAUCAUCAAGACAUAUAAGCAUGUGGUGUGUGUGAGUGGGAAGAGAGAAAAUGAAAGAUACCGUUUGAUUCUGCAAUGAAACUGUAACAAACCGGUAGUAUAACUCACUAGCAUUAGUGAAAUGUGCUAAGUAACACAUGAACUCUUGCCGUUCUGUAAAUAUACAGUGCCCUCCUGAGUUAUUGGCACCCUAGGUUAAAAAUGAACUAAAAAGGCUGUGAAAAAAUGUAAUUGUUGUCUAUCAGCU